GCCUCCGUAGCGCAGUUGGCCAGCGCGUUCGGCUGUUAACCAAAAGGAUGGUGGUCCGAGCCGACCUGGGGGCG